rnacentral:rRNA from 1 species
UACGUAGGUGACAAGCGUUUGUCCGGAUUUACUGGGCGUAAAGAGCGCGCAGGCGGUCGAUCAAGUCGAGUGUGAAAGCCCCCGGCUCAACUGGGGAGGGUCAUUCGAUACUGAUCGACUCGAAGGCAGGAGAGGGUAGUGGAAUUCCCGGUGUAGUGGUGAAAUGCGUAGAUAUCGGGAGGAACACCAGUGGCGAAGGCGACUACCUGGCCUGUUCUUGACGCUGAGGCGCGAAAGCUAGGGGAGCAAACGGGG